UCCCAGGCCGAUGGGCGAGCGAGGCCAACGAGUUUCCAGCGGCGGGGGCUGGGGCGGCGCCAGCGGGUGGUGGAGAGCGCGGCCCUGGGACCCCGGAGCCCCUUUACCCAGCAAACCAGGGCAAGAGGGGGGUGGACCCCCAGUAAUGCCGGGGUCUCCCCGAACUGGGCGGAAGCUGGGGGUUUGCUCCUGGUUCUGCGAGAGGGAGAAAUAAUUUUGUCGGGGCACGCGUGCUGCGAGGGCAGAGUCAGUGAGCCGGCUCCGACUUCGGCGCACCGCCCUUCUGGCAGACGAUUUCCCACCGUUCAGAAGUCGGGAGUUAAAGGACCGCACGCUGCACCUUUGUCCCCCACCCCGUUUUCCCCGCGCACUGAAAAGAAAUGGGGUGGGGGAGGGCUUCCAACUCGGUUUCUCCAUCUCCACCACCUUCCAAACCCACCCUCCAAAUCCGCGUUUUGUUCUUGCCAGCCACGUGUUUCUCGAAUUUUUACUUGCGAUUUUUUUUUCUUUCCAUGGAUCUACAGAAAUCUGAAUACUAUAAGCCAUCAGUUGCUGAGUAGACAAAAAGUGUUUUCUAUCCAAGAAGGUGGGCGAUAUCUGUAUUCCACCCCCCAAUUCCUCCGACCCUGUCUGUUUCAGACUCUUAAUACUUGGUUCUUGACAUAAACAAUUUUAAACAAACCAACGAGUUUCCACUGCCUGCCACAUAGUAGGUAUUCAAUAAAUAAUUUCUCUUAAGUGAAAAGCAAGCUAAUACAAGCUGUAGAGCGAAGAAAAUUAAGAGGCUAGGGGGAAAAAAUUAUCUUGGCCAGAAUGUGUGGGUCUGUUGCCCGGGGACUCUUCUUGGUGCUGUGUGUUUACUUUUGAAAGGGCUAAAAGAUGGUCUCAGAAAGGCUGUUGUGUUCCUUGGCCUUUCCCUAAAUAGGAACCCAGCUUCCUGAAACCUUUUCUGUUACAUUGGGGAACAAGGAAGAGGGUACUCGGCGGGGCGUUCCAGGUCCCAGCAACCUUAAGUGCUGUUUCCCUCAUUUAAUUUAAAUCUUCAGGAAUUAAUAGAAGCACCUCUCAGGUUUUCUCCCUGGGGAACAUAUCCACUACUCUAUCUCUUUAUUCCUAAAACAAAGGCAAGUUACACCCCACAAAAAUCUCCAUUCAGCUCCCUAAACGCCUGUAAAAUGCAGCCCACAUUUUCCUAUCCUAAAUUCAAAGGGAAACAAAUUUAAGUUAAUGAUUGAAUAUUAUUCAAUUUGUUUUUAGCUUGAUUUUUUCUAUUUAAAAGUAUAAUAGAAGUGUAAAGGUUAGCUGCAAUUACUCAGUUUUUCAUGUUUUAAAAUGACAAAGGAAAAAGUGUAAAUGUAUUAAAAAAUUUACCAAAUGCUGAUAAACUGAUUAGUGCUUUUUAAAAAUCAGCUGUUUUACUGAAUUCUAACCCUCCCCCACCCCCCACCACCAAGAGCUUCUGUGUGUAGUCAGAGGCUGCAAGAACACAAGGGAAAGGAGACAGCUGGGUGAGAUGCAGACCUUUUUAGCCCCCCAAAUCAGUUUUGCCUCAGUGACCUGGCUAUUUUAGGCUGAGGUUGGGGGGACUGAAUGAUGUUGAUUGGUGCUUCAUCUUUUCCUCUGAGUGAGUCUAGCUCUAAAAUUAACCUGAGAGAGGGAUUAUUUCUUGUCAAGACUCACUCCCAGGUUAGGAAUAGGGGUGGGAAGACUUGGGAUGCCAUAAUUUGUCAUCAUUCUUUUCCUUGGCUUUUUUAAAAAUUAAAGACAACUAGUAAACAUUGUAUUUGUUACAUUUUUUUUUUCCUACAUCACUUCUAUGGGAAAAUUUAAUCUUCAGUGCAGAGUUAAAUUUACUUUGUGAGAGUUUAAAAGUACAGCUGCAGGGUAAAUUGUCUUGAGAAUAAUGAUUUUUAAAAGUAUUACCAUAAUUUUUGUUCUCCUCCUCUUCCUCCUUUAUUUUUGCUGAAGAAGUGUUUGGUCUAGUUACAUAAUUCAGUUUUCUGAAUUCAGAAACACUGAAACUUGACUCCCAUUUUAAAGAUGGGGGUUCUGAUCCAUUUUUCUUUAGUGCAAACAUACAAAUACUUGCAGACAGAAAAAAAAUUUAAGAGGAUAAUACAGCUUAAAAUUUUUAAAUAUAAAGUGAAAAAAAUCAUUUCCAUAAAUUAAUUUUAAUGUCUUUUCAGUUUUUUAUAGUUUUAUAUUUUUUAUUUUGUCAUCUUAUUUGUAUAUCUUGAUUUUUUACUCACUCCUGUACCAUAAGUAUUUUCCCAUACUGCUUCCAAGCUUUGAUAAUGACCUUUUUUAGCCAAAAUGUUAUAUUCAGCCCAAUAGAUGUGUUAAUCAUGAAUCAUUAUUGUUAGGUGUAUAAGUUACAUCAAAUCUUUUACUUUUGUUAGUAGUGCUGACUAGGUAUUUGAGGGCAUAUAACUUUUUCCUCUUUUAAAUUAGCUCCUUUGGAUAAAUCCCCAGAAUGUAUAUUGCAUUUUAAAUCUAAAAGUUAUCAAUGGCUUCCUAUUUCAAAAACUUCACAUGCUUUACAAAAAAAGAAGACACAAAUUGGAAAGCACUUAAAAGGAAAAUACAUUAAAAUAGAAUUUUUACAAUUUUUGUUUUCUAAUGAAUCAUGAUCAAUAUUGAAAUAAACUUAUGGUUUCUAUGAAAUACAGAAAAAGGAGACUACACAUUUCCUGACAUAUGGCCACUUUGACUUCAAAGUUUUUGAAAGAAUUUGUCUUUUGUUUGCUUGGUUUUUGUUUAUUUUGUUGUUUGCUUGUUUUUUAUUGUUAUUGUCUUGAGAUAUUUUAUUUCUUCCUGCAACUUGAAGUUUUAGUGUGGUUCUUUUAAAUGCCUACAAACUUUGAAAAAGUGUAAAUUUGUCCCAAUAUUAAAGCACAUUCAGCAUUUUCUCCUGUCAAUAAGGAUAAUUAUAUGAUUAAGAUAACUCAUAAAAUGUAAGAGAAUUAUAAACAGAAAAGGAAAUUCCCUCCUUCAAAUUAUUAUUUAAGUGUUCAGUAUUCAAAGCCUUAAAAAGAAAUGUGUUUAUUCCAGAGAUAGAAGAGAUUCAUGGAGGGAAAAAACUUUAAGAACAGUCAUUUGUUUUUCUAUGGGUCACACAAUGUGUAUGACAAAAACUGCUUAACUUUUGGUUUUGGCUCAGGUUUACAAUGUAGAAACUUUUAGAUAAGGGAGAGAAUAAUUUAUUUAAUUAACUUUUAAAAAAUAAAUGCUUCCAAAUUCAAUUUGUUAGUCAAUUAAACUUCACCACAGUAACCCCUAUUCACACACGUAAGAGAAAUGGUGAUAACAUUCCUCAGAUUACACAAGUUUUUUUUACAGCAAAAUCAUUUGGUUAAAAGAUAAUAACUUUAUUUAGUCCUUAUUUUGCACAAAAUGUAAAAUAGAUAGUUGGUAUGUUUGGGGCAAAAUUGUACAACUGAAUAAAAGACAAGGAAAUAAAUGUUAUUUCUUGAAGUAAAUGUUACUUUCCCAAAUAAAUUAUAACAAGCAACAAAAGUGAGGGAAUGCAUACAUGGAUAUUAUUAAGUGGGAAUAGUAAUAAGACAAUUUUUUACUUGAAAGCUACAUGUCUUCUAAGUAAAUGAUUUUAAGUUACAACAUUAAAUUGCAUGGAGUUAAUUUGAUUUUAUCUGGAUAACCUCUAUGCUUUUCAAGACUAAAAGAAUUUUUCUAUCUGGAACUCAAACUAUUUUUGUUUCCUUCAUUAAAAGUUUACUUCUGAUAAUAAAAUUAAUUUACCUUACUCCUGUUUCUAGCUGGACCCUUUUUUUCAGAAGGUGUCUUGAAUGUUUAAAUGUUUCUGAGUGCUUAAAAGGGAUACUUUAAAAAAUAUAUGUAAGAUGAAAAAAUUAAUACAUAGACUAUUUCACUGAUAGUUAAUCAG
rnacentral:lncRNA from 1 species